UACGGGGGGGGCAAGCGUUGUUCGGAAUUACUGGGCGUAAAGGGCUCGUAGGUGGCCAACUAAGUCAGACGUGAAAUCCCUCAGCUUAACUGGGGAACUGGGUCUGAUACUGGAUGGUUUGAGUUUGGGAGAGGGAUGCGGAAUUCCAGGUGUAGCGGUGAAAUGCGUAGAUAUCGGGAAGAACACCCGUGGCGAAGGCGGCUCUCUGGGACGCAACUGACGCUGAGACGCGAAAGCGUGGGGAGCAAACAGG
rnacentral:rRNA from 1 species